CCUACGGGAGGCAGCAGUGGGGAAUAUUGCACAAUGGGGGAAACCCUGAUGCAGCGACGCCGCGUGAGCGAUGAAGUAUUUCGGUAUGUAAAGCUCUAUCAGCAGGGAAGAAAAUGACGGUACCUGACUAAGAAGCCCCGGCUAACUACGUGCCAGCCGCCGCGGUAAUACGUAGGGGGCAAGCGUUAUCCGGAUUUACUGGGUGUAAAGGUAGCGUAGACGGCGGUGCAAGCCAGAUGUGAAAGCCCGGGGCUCAACCCCGGGACUGCAUUUGGAACUGUGCUGCUAGAGUGUCGGAGAGGCAGGCGGAAUUCCUAGUGGAGCGGUGAAAGGCGUAGAGAUUAGGAGGAACACCAGUGGCGAAGGCGGCCUGCUGGACGACGACUGACGUUGAGGCGCGAAAGCGUGGGGAGCAAACAGGAUUAGAUACCCGAGUAGUC
rnacentral:rRNA from 1 species